AAUCAUGGAAGGGAAGAAGCUACUUGGGAAUCAGAAGAGACUAUGCGUCAACAAUACCCUCAACUAGUUGGAUCAGGUAAAUUUCGAGGACGAAAUUUCUUUAAGGAGGGUAGAGUUGUAACGCCUCAAUUUUCGGGAAUUCUGUGAAUGUUGGCAUAGGUUUAAUUAUGUUAGUGGGCCUCUAGAAGGCCCAAGCUUAAGAUAGAACCCGGCAAUUUUAGUUAAUUUUUGUUCCAUAAGAAAAAGUGGGUGAAAUUAUAAAAUAGAAUCUAUGUGAAAAUGUUUGAAAAUGCUAUAGGCUAAAUUGAAGUGGCCGAAUAAAUAGGAGUGCAAAAUAGGAGGAUUUGCAUGACAAACCUCCCAUUUUACAUGAAGUGGCCGGCCAUCAUGUUGUUGUAGACAAUAUGAGCACUUGAUAUCCAUAAUUCAUG
rnacentral:lncRNA from 1 species